GUACCGGGAGAAUAAGCUCCGGCUAACUCCGUGCCAGCAGCCGCGGUAAUACGGAGGGAGCUAGCGUUGUUCGGAAUUACUGGGCGUAAAGCGUACGUAGGCGGUUAUUCAAGUCAGAGGUGAAAGCCUGGAGCUCAACUCCAGAACUGCCUUUGAAACUAGAUAGCUAGAAUCUUGGAGAGGUCAGUGGAAUUCCGAGUGUAGAGGUGAAAUUCGUAGAUAUUCGGAAGAACACCAGUGGCGAAGCGGCCGCUGGACAUGUAUUGACGCUGAGUGCGAAAGCGUGGGAGCAAACAGGAUUAGAUACCCUGGUAGUCCACGCCGUAACGAUAUAACUAGCUGU
rnacentral:rRNA from 1 species